AGAGUUUGAUCCUGGCUCAGAUUGAACGCUGGCGGCAUGCCUUACACAUGCAAGUCGAACGGUAGAGGGGCAACCCUUGAGAGUGGCGAACGGGUGAGUAAUAUAUCGGAACGUGCCCAGUCGUGGGGGAUAACGCAGCGAAAGCUGCGCUAAUACCGCAUACGAUCUAAGGAUGAAAGCGGGGGAUCGCAAGACCUCGCGCGAUUGGAGCGGCCGAUAUCAGAUUAGGUAGUUGGUGGGGUAAAAGCCCACCAAGCCGACGAUCUGUAGCUGGUCUGAGAGGACGACCAGCCACACUGGGANUGAGACACGGCCCAGACUCCUACGGGAGGCAGCAGUGGGGAAUUUUGGACAAUGGGCGCAAGCCUGAUCCAGCAAUGCCGCGUGCAGGACGAAGGCCUUCGGGUUGUAAACUGCUUUUGUACGGAGCGAAACGGUNNGGNNUAAUACCCUGGGCUAAUGACGGUACCGUAAGAAUAAGCACCGGCUAACUACGUNCCAGCCGCCGCGGUAAUUC
rnacentral:rRNA from 1 species